rnacentral:misc_RNA from 1 species
GGAAGUAAAAGUGUAACAAGGUUUCCGUAGGUGAACCUGCGGAAGGAUCAUUAUUGUAUAACCGAGGUGCGAGGGCUGUCGCUGACCCGAAAGGUCGUGCACGCCCGAGUGCCCUCACACACAUCCAUCUCACCCCUAUGUGCACCACCGCGUGGGUCCCCCUUUGGCUUGUUCGGAGGGGGGCUUACGUUUUCACACAAACUUUGUAUGCAGUGUAGAAUGUAUUUUUUGUUUUUGCGAUCACGCAAUCAAUACAACUUUCAACAACGGAACUCUUGGCUCUC